AUGAGGUGGCCGAGGAGCAGAUUGAAAUGGCUCCUCAGCGCAUGCCUCAUUUCCCUCCUGCUGCUCACGCCAACGGACCGCGGCGGGCUGCUGCUCGUCGCCGCCAUCAGGAAGAACUUGUUUUGGCCGCCACCUCCCCAGCCGUCUCCCCCGAGCCGAAUAGGUGAUGAAUUGGUGGAACAAUUAUGGCUCAACUGUGGUCUAGAUAGGAUAAUCCUUCAAGAUGUUAAAAACCAGUCCCAUCACACCCUUGCAUUCAGCACCAAGGAAGGAAUGAGCACUUCUUUGUCUCCAGAAGUUGCCGAUACUAUUCUGGAUUGCUUAAGCAAGCAUAAUUUUCCUUCACCACAUGGCUCUGGGCAUACACAGGAUGAAGAUGCUGAGGAGGAGGCAGGAAGCUUACUGCCAGAUUCCUAUAAUUUCAAACUGUCUUUUGCAUCAAAAAUAAGAUAUCUUCUUGAAGGAGCUUCAACAUCACAUUAUUCUUUGUCACCGCCAGCAAAAGAAGCAAUCAGGACUCUUUUCUCUUCCGAAGCAGAGGCUCGUCCGCUAGCUGUUAGCAUAAAAAUUUCUUUGGGAAAGAAGCGCAAGGAUGAUGACUCGGGUUCAUCCACUGCUGUCAUUGGUGCAGUGGCUUGUGUAGCAUUGGUGGCCCUUGUCGGUAGCUUGUGUGGGAUGUGUGACGAAGAGCCAGCAUCACCAUAUGAUCUAGUGGGGGGCGGUGAACUAACAGGUUCUUCCCGUAAGGAUUCCGCCACCCAGAUCGAUGUCAGUAGGCUGGGAGGAUUGUCAAACAGUGCAUCUGAGAAACAGCAGUCUGAAUUUACAGUACCAGUAAUGAAGUUGAAUGUUGAAAGACCAGCCGCGAAACUGAAGUCAGUAGGAGCAGCAUCAAUGAAGGAAGAACUAAUGGAGCGACACAGCAGGUUUGCUUCGUACGAAGUAACGACCAUCGCUGGACAGCAGCCGGCCAAACCCGAGAAGGCUGCAGUUUCUUCUGCAGGUCCAGCUCCGCCACCUCCUCCUCCACUUCCAGGUGCACCAGCACCACCACCUCCUCCUGUAGUUCCAGGUGCACCAGCACCAGGUGAACCAGCACCAGGUGAACCAGCACCAGGUGCACCAGCACCAGCACCAGGUGUACCAGCACCAGGUGCACCAGCAGCACCACCAGGUGCACCAGCAGCACCACCAGGUGCACCAGGUGCGCCACCACCACCACCAGGUGCACCAGCACCACCACCACCACCAGGUGCACCAGCACCACCCCCGCCACCAGGUGCACCAGCACCACCGCCUGCACCAGGUGCGCCCGCACCACCACCGCCUGCACCAGGUGCGCCCGCACCACCACCGCCUGCACCAGGUGCGCCCGCACCACCACCGCCUGCACCAGGUGCGCCCGCACCACCACCGCCUGCACCAGGUGCACCAGCACCACCACCGCCUGCACCAGGUGCACCCGCACCACCACCUGCACCAGGUGCACCCGCACCACCUCCAAAGCCGGGCGGCGGGCCUCCUCCUCCAGGGCCACCAGCACCUCCUGGUGCAAGGGCUGGAGCAGGACCUGGACCUCCACCUCCACCUGGAAAAGCUGGUGGACCGGGGGGACCUCCGCCACCAGCACUGCCCGGUGGUCCAAGAAAAGGACCUCCGCCGCUUAAGAAGCCAGGAGCUGCUGCAGCUCCUGUUGCAGACUCUUCGAAAACAAAGUUGAAGCCCUUCUUCUGGGAUAAAGUUACUGCAACAGAUCAAGCAAUGGUGUGGGAUCAAAUUAAAGCAGGAUCCUUCCAGUUUAAUGAGGAGAUGAUCGAAUCUCUUUUUGGUUGCAAACCUGUUGACAAAAGUAAUGAUGCCAAAAAAGAGCCAGCAAAGGAAGCUCCUCAAGUCAUUAGGAUCCUAGAUGCUAAAAAGGCACAGAAUUUAUCAAUAUCACUGAAGGCACUCAGUGUUACAGCUCAAGACGUGCAUACUGCAGUUACAGAAGGGCAUGAUCUCCCAGCCGAUUUGAUAACAACCUUGCUACGGUGGACCCCAACCAGUGAUGAGGAGCUAAAGCUUCGGCUCUACACUGGAGAGAUGAGUCAACUUGGUCCAGCGGAGCAAUUCUUGAAGACCAUCAUUGACAUCCCAUACAUUUUCCAGCGCUUGGAGACUUUGCUUUUGAUGGCCAGUUUGACGGAAGAAGCUACAAGUGUGGAGCAGUCAUUCAAAACCCUAGAGGUUGCCUGCGACGAGCUUAGGCACAGCCGUCUUUUCAAGAAGCUACUGGAGGCUGUACUUAAAACUGGCAACCGAAUGAAUGAUGGCACCUUUCGAGGGGGAGCACAGGCGUUCAAACUGGACACCCUCCUGAAGCUGGCUGAUGUCAAGGGGCUCGAUGGCAAGACGACGCUGCUGCAUUUCGUCGUCCAGGAGAUCAUCCGCUCGGAGGGUGUCCGUGCCGCGCGGGCGGCCAAGGAGCAGAAAAGCAGCGUCUCCAGCGUGAGCGGCGGCACCGAUGAUCUCUCCGAGGAUGUCGGCGACGACACGGAGCACUACAAGGAGCUUGGCCUCGAAGUGGUGUCCGGCCUGUCUGACGACCUCCAGAAUGUCCGCAAGGCAGCGAUCCUCGACGCGGACGCGCUUACCAUACAGGUAGCGAGCCUCGGGCACAGGCUGGUGAAGGCGAACGAGUUCUUGAACACGGGCAUUAAGAGCUUGGAGGAGGAGAGCGGGUUCCAACGCAAGUUGGCCCAGUUCGUAGAGAACUCCCAGGCGCAGGUGACCCGCCUGCUGGAGGAGGAGAAGAAGCUCCGCUUGAUGGUGCGCUCCACCGUGGACUACUUCCACGGCAGCAAGGGGAAGGACGAGGGCCUGCGCCUGUUUGUCGUCGUGCGCGACUUCCUGGUGAUACUGGAGAAGGUGUGCAAGGAGGUGAAAGACGCGGCUGCUUUGGCCGCCAAAGCAGCCGCUGCCAACAAGAAACCGGCGGCAGCGGCAGCACCGGCGAAAGGGGGCAAGCAGCCGUCCCAGUCACAGCAAUCCUUCCGCGACCCUCGGCAAGCUCUCAAGCCCGCGAUCCAAGGCCGGAGGGCAAAGCCGGACAGCAGCUCCAGCUCUGAUUCUGACUAG
rnacentral:rRNA from 1 species